CAUGUACGCUAGCGACAGGCUUAAUACAUGCAAGUCGAGGGGCAGCACAGGUAGCAAUACUGGGUGGCGACCGGCAAACGGGUGCGGAACACGUACACAACUUACCUUAGAGUGGGGGAUAGCCCAGGGAAACUUGGAUUAAUACCCCAUAAAACAGGGGGCCCGCAUGGGCAUAUUGUUAAAGAUUUAUCGCUUUAAGAUGGGUGUGCGUAUGAUUAGGUAGUUGGUAGGGUAAAGGCCUACCAAGCCGACGAUCAUUAACUGGUGUGAGAGCACGACCAGUCACACGGGCACUGAGACACGGGCCCGACUCCUACGGGAGGCAGCAGUAAGGAAUAUUGGUCAAUGGACGGAAGUCUGAACCAGCCAUGCCGCGUGAAGGAUGAAGGUCCUCUGGAUUGUAAACUUCUUUUAUAGGGGGCGAAAAAGGGCCAUUCUUGGUCAACUGACGGUACCCUAUGAAUAAGCACCGGCUAACUCCGUGCCAGCCGCCGCGGUAAAAC
rnacentral:rRNA from 1 species